ACACUCAGUGUUCUAAAUUUUACCCAUUCUAAUGGGUGUAUGGUGGUGGCCCACUGUACUUUGGGUUUUUUGUUUGUUUGUUUUUAUAAUUUUAUUUGUUUAUUCAUGAGAGACACAGAGAGGCAGAGACACAGGCAAAGGGAGAAGCAGGAUCCCUGCGGGGAGCCCAAUGCAGGACUCCAACCCAGGAUCCCAGGAUCGUUGUGACCUAAGCCAAGACACUCAACCGCUGAGACACCCAGGUGCCCCUGGCCCACUGUACUUUGAAUCCAAUAUCUCUCUGUUUGAAGGAAACCAGAGAAGCUUCAAGGCCAGACUGAUCACACAGGGCCCUCCUGAGUACAACACAUUCUCGAGAAGCUGCUGUACGUCACGAACUCUGUGCACAAAGAAUUAUUCCAGCCAACGUCCUGAGAAUUUUACAACACAGCUAAAAAUGUUGGAGUUGGAUGAUAUGGAAUCUCAAGGUAAUUCAUUUCACUCGAAUACAUAUUUGUCAAAGAGGCUUAUGCAUCACUACUUGUUUUGUCUGUUUGUUUGUUUACAUGUAGUUUAGGGAAGAGAAAUUGCAGGUGUCAGCGUGCCUCACCUAAAUCCUGCUCGCGGAGCCUAGUCCCGGAGCUGUGGGAAUGAGCAGCAGGCCCUGCAGUGGUCGGUCACCUCUGAGAAGCAGCCACCAAUCGCCAGUCUUCGCUGAGUAGUGCCCCAGCUGAGAUUUACUGCAUGCUCGCCGCGGGCCGGAUGACACCAGGCACAUUUGCAGGAGGACCUUAUUCAAUUCUCACCGUGGCCGUAUGAGCUAACUGUGUCUCUAUUUUUCAGAGGAGAAACCAGUGUUUCCAGCCCACAGUAGUGUAUCGAGAAGGGAGCUCCAAAAUUUGAUCACCUGGCCCAUCACCAGGCACCUUGAUUCCCCUCACCUUGACUCCGGGCUCUGAGCCUGACAAAUACAAUGCAGAGGAACGGACGUCAGGCCCACCACAGAGAGGCUGGGGAUUUACAACUUGGGGCACGAGCCUGAUGCCAUCAGGAGCUUUGUCUUCAUGGCUCCAUGCUGCUCCAGCCGCAGAUGUUGGCAGGUACACUGAAUAGCUUCUGGGAAGUGUUAAAAUAAAACCGGACUAUCCCGUGAUCUAAUAUGUUGAGGGGAAAAAAAUCAUCACCUAAUUUGCAUCCAAGUAUUAUAGAUGUACAGACAUAGACAGAAGCACAAAACAUCUAGAAAAGCCACCUGUGGAUGGCAGCGGUGAAGAGGUACGGGGGAUGGGUGUUCAGCGCGGAAGCUGGCCCAUGGCAGGCACCCAAUCAGCUAGUCACCCAUUCGGUUACCGACAUGCUCCUGCUGCGGACGCAGCUUUGGAAAACCACAGGUAAAAUUCCAGUGGUCCUCAUCACACCGGUAUCACCCGGUCACCAGUAAGUAGGAACAGCAGUUUCCGAUACAAGAAAUUUGGAUCAAAAAUAUCCUUUGGAUAAUCUAAGAGCCUUCAGGAAAAGAUUCAUAAUAGGAUCAUCUCCUAUGGCAACUUGUGCUUUUCACUCAAUGCAACUAUGAUAUCACCAUAUCAUUAAUCAACUCUUCAGAGAGACUCUUCUC